rnacentral:rRNA from 1 species
UACGGGGGGGGCAAGCGUUGUUCGGAAUUACUGGGCGUAAAGCGCGCGUAGGCGGCUCUUCAAGUCGAGUGUGAAAGCUCCAGGCUUAACCUGGGAAUUGCGCUCGAUACUGUUGAGCUAGAGUGUGGAAGGGGCUACUGGAAUUCCGUGUGUAGCGGUGAAAUGCGUAGAGAUCUGGAGGAACACCGAUGGCGAAGGCAGCCUUCUGGGCCAACACUGACGCUCAUGCACGAAAGCGUGGGGAGCAAACAGG